UUUUUUUUUUUUUUUUUUUUUUUUUUAAUGAGCCGGUGCUUUUAAGCGCUGUUACCUACUGGGCCCAAGUAGGCGGUAGAAGAGGGAAAAUAAAGCCAUUUGUUCCCUCUUCAAGCUAACUGCUCCAGAGAGCUGUGAGUGUGCUCUACUACCGUUGGGAAAACCGAAAUUGCGGAGGCCUGAGUCUUUUCAAAAUUGAACGGGAAGCGUUUUUAAACUGCCGCAGGGAGAGGCGUUUGCGAGGUGACAGCUGAUGACCCCUGGGCUUUUAAGUCCUCCUCCCCUCUCUCGGUCCGCUCUCGGUCCUUAAUCGCCUCUGGACUCUGGGCUCUAGUCCCCUCCCCAGAUUCACCCAUCUGACACCCGCCUCCUGCCCAAUCCCCCGGCUCGUCUCCAGGGCUCCCGCGCUCCGCCCAUCCCCCUCUGGAUGCUUCCUCUCUCUCUCUUCUUUCCCUCCCGCCAGCCACUCCUCGCGUCUUUCUCUCCCCACUUCCCUUCUUUCCCCUCACCCUCCAGCCCAGCCCACCCUGCUUUCUCCCUCUUUCUCUUUCCCGUAGAUCCGCGCUCGCGCUGCAACACCUACUCCUCCCUCGGCUCUGGGAGUCGCCAGGCCAGAGGCGCCGCGGACC
rnacentral:lncRNA from 1 species